UGUAGCUCCAUGUCAGAGGCAGCGGGAAAACGGAGGAUGCAAGGGUUAGCCGGAGUUACUGGGUGUAAUGGGUGGGUAGGCGGAAGUUGAAGUAAGGGGUGAAAGCGCAGGGCGAAAACCAGAAAGUGCGUUUGAUACUAUUAGUCUUGAAUAUUGUUGAGGUGGGCGGAACGGGGUAUGUAGCGGUGAAAUGCAUAGAUAUGACCCGGAACACCGAUUGCGAAGGCAGCCCGCUAAGCAAUAAUUGACGCUGAGGCACGAAAGCGUGGGGAUCAAACAGGAUUAGAUACCCUAGUAGUC
rnacentral:rRNA from 1 species